rnacentral:tRNA from 1 species
GCCCCUAAAGGAUAAUAGUCCAUCCGUUGGUCUUAGGAACCAAAAACUCUUAGCGCAAAUCUAAGUAGCGGCU